UCAGAUAUGGUGUAACGGGAACACGGCCUCCUAUUCCAGCAACACUGACAGAAAUUGAGAUGCAAUCCGGGGUUUGAAUCCCCGUGUCUGAA